rnacentral:rRNA from 1 species
GCGUAGGGUACGUAGGUGGUGAAAGGAAAAGAAAAUGAAAUACUAGAUUAUCAUCUUUUCUGUUUUCUUGUAAUUUCACUUGAAUCUUAGAUGGGAUGGUGGUACUUUUUAAGUAACAGUUAAAUGUGUUGAGAUAAAAAGAACCGACGGUAGCGAAAGCGAUCCUCCUUUCAAGUAUUGAGCUAAGGUACGAAGGCAGGGGAGCGAAGAGGAUUAGAUACCCUCGUAGUCCGUGAGUAAACGCUGAGUUUUCAAUGUAGGGAAUUAAUUAAUAAAGAACUAAAAGUUUUUAUUUUAAAAAUAUAAUUUUUGUUAAAGAGUAAUCCUUGGUGUUCAAGUAACGCGUAAAAUACUCCGCUGGGAAGUACGGCCGCAGGUUGAAACUCAAAAGAAUUGAGGUGACUUGAACGAGG